UCUGAGGCAUUAUUUCUUAACGUCUGGAAGCUUACAGUAUGUAAUGUACACUUGUUGGUGCCAGAUAACUGGUUAAAAGCAGCAUUGCUUAUUAAAAUAAACCUUUAUUUUCAGCAUUUCCCAAAGAAGAAAUUCCAAAUGAUUCCUGAAGUAUUUCAAGAAAAUGAUGUUUGAUAUUUAUCUGACUUACUGCUAAAUUGCAGGGAUGAAAGGAUGUUGGGAAACUACAGACUGAGGUUAAAGAAGUUUAGCAUGCCGUCACAUAUUCAGGCCAGCUUCUACAGGUGCUCUGUUGAGAGUAUCCUGUCUGGCUACAUCACUGCCUGGUAUGGGAACUGCUCCACCCGGGAUCGCAAAGUACCGCAGAGGGUGGUGAAAUCGGCACUGCUCCUCACCGGCUGUGUGCUACCAGACAUCGAGGAUAUCUACUCUGUUAGAAGCCUCAAGAAAGCCAGGUCAAUACUCAAGGACCUCAGUCACCCAAACCACAAUCUGUUUUCCCUACUACCGCCUGGAAAAUAAUACCGAAGCCUACAGACAAAGACCAGCCGAUUUCAAAACAGCUUUUUCCCUAGGGCAAUAAGACUGCUGAACAGCCAGAUACAGCAGAUACCAGCAAUUACCCAAACGACCGCUGAUAAAUAGUCAGUCCACUGCAUUUUUUUCUCGCCUGCCCCUUUUUUUAAUAUUGCAUAAUCUUGUUAAAUGUUAAUGUAUAAUUUAUUGUAUUCAUCUUGUAACCUUCUAUCAAGUUCUGUCCUAUCUCUCCUUAGCGAGCUUGUGGAAAAUGGAUUUCACUGCCCACAACCACCUCUGUAUGCUGUAUUGUUUUGCAUUGAUAAAUAAAUCUUGAUCGAUUGACAAGAAAAAAGGACAAAUACAGCAAAUAGCUAUUGCUCUAUCAAAACCAAUAAAGAAGCUCUGUGCUUUCCUCCCAAAAUAUUGAGAUACAAAGUGCAUCUACAGUACAUAGUACUGUAUCUUUGAACUAUUUUGUUUAAAUUUAAAGACAAAAAGAGUAAGGAUCAUAAUCAUGAACGAUUAUUUCAAAAUAAUUUAAAGGUCAGUUUAUAAACUAAAACCCAAAAACCUCCUAGAAAUCUGAGCCUUGCUGGUACAUCACAAGCUUUUUCAUCAUCAAGUUAUUUGGUUUUCAUUAAAUGAAUUCUUGAUGUCAGUUGGUAUUAACUCUUGUUGAGAAAAACAAAAGUGUAUUUAAUACUGUAUAGUAUACAGCUUGAGAACAAUUUCAAGGUGCAAGACAACAGUUUACUGUUCCUCAGUAACCCCUUGCAUUAGGUUUUAUCUAGCACUAUAUUGAAUAUCCUUUAACAGUUGCCCUUAGAAUUCAAAGCAUUCACUAUGAAUUACAGGACCCCUGGGUUAUGGAAAUAAUUGAAUUGGAAGUCUUCUGGAAAUCUUUAAUACCAAAUUUCUUAAUACCUUUUUAAAUGUCAGGAUGCAGUGGUGUCAAAAUAGUGUAUUCAGAGCAGUGAGGCCUGAUUUAUUUAAAGUGAAAGUUGAGCUAAUGUAUUUUACAAAUGAAACAUGACAUCUCUGCUACAUUUGCAGUUAAACUCUUCACUUUGUUCCUGAAUGAUUAAUGCACUAAGACUUGUGACCACAUACACAUACAAAACAAACAGGGUCUGUAUUUAGUCAACGCAUGUAGGUGGAUAUUUUGCUAAUCACAAGAGCAAAUUGUCAUACAUUUGAUAUAGUUCCAGAUUUAUUUUCACCCUAAUUAACUAAAUCGCAACAGUUCUGUAUACACACACAUUAAUACUGCUUUCCAAUGACUUCCACAGAUUGAGAACUGGAACCAGAUGAAAUGAUUUUUUAUUUCACUACUUGUAUACUCUUUCCAUUCCCCGGAAAUUAAAUACCUCAAGACCACAAACCAGCAAGGCAUUCAGUAGAAGUCAGUCCAAUGUGACCUUGCUGUGUUCUAAUAAAAUGAAAUAAAGUUUAUUGACUCUGAAAUGCCACUAACUAAUUAAUUCUAUUCAGCUUAAGAAUGGCUUCUGGGCCUUUUAAUGGUACAUGAAAGUUACUAGUUGCCCGUGUUGGGAUCUUUAUCCAAUGUAAAACGCAAUAAAUAUUAAAUGCAAGUACAAAAGGAGAAAAAGAACUAGUCCAAUAAUCCCUGUAUAGGAAACACACUGUAAGGGCAGCACAGUACAUCAAAGAAAACGUGCCCAACAAUUGCAGGCAUAUACACAUUCAGUAGCACAGAAUGAAAACAGUACUGUAGAUAUUGUAACUAGGUAGAAUGUGAAGAAGAUGAAAGCUGGAAGAAUACGUUUUGAGUGAAUAUAGUCAUAACGUCAACCAUCUUAACUGGUUAAGUAUUAAAUACACUUACUGCAUACUUAAGGAUGUAGUUCAGAGCUGAGAGGUUACAGGUACUAUCUAAGCAGCGCCAGAAAGUGCUCGGGGUCUAAACAUUCCUGGUUUCUGCAGGUACUGUAGUUUCAUUCUGCUUCCGAGGAGCAAGAGAAUUAACUGACUCUGGGAAUGAGGGAGGGGAGCGAUGGGACAGAUGAUCAGGAGGGCAACAAGGAUCACAGGCAGGAAUAAGAAGCAGAAGAAGUGUGUUUGAGACCAUAUUUAAGGUGAUUUGAUUUGCCAUCAAUUAAUUUACUGCUUAUUUUGACUAUUUUUCCCAGCAUAUUACAAUCAAUGGUACUGGUGUUACCAAACCAGCCAUUUCUGACCAAAAACAUUAUAAUUACUUAAAAUCCUUUUACAGAGGUUUUUUUAUAGUUCAUGCCCAGCCAAGUUCACCCUAUGUUAUUACCAUGAUGGGGAUUUUAUGGCCUAGUUGCUAUUCCUGUUGAUGUUAUCCUUUCAGCUAUUUCUGAAGUAUCACAUACAACAGCAGGUGUCUGUUUAAAAUUCCCUCACGCCAGGUCAGGAGUAAUGACCCCAGGCCAGAGUCAGAUUUCUAUACUUUCUGGGAUCGGAUCCAGCUUCCCUGCGACCCUGAAUUUGAUGAAGCGGUUAGAAAAUUAAUGGAUGGAUGACAGCUCAAAAGAACUUGGUAAAAAUAAUUUAAGGCCUUACUCAGGGAAGACUGUGAGUGGACCCGAUUCAAGUACUUUUUGUGAAACCUUUUCCAACAUACAUUAUUUCUACAGUGUUUGCUGUUUGUUCUUCAGCAGAAGUGGGAAGGUGUUCCUACUGUAUACUGUAUGUCAACAGAGUAGCUUCCUAAAGUUAACUAUAAGUACAGCACAAAUGUAGUUCACUGUGGUAUUAUGGCCCUUGUACUUUCUGCGAAGAAAAAUGAUGUUUGUAUUUCUGCACUCCAAAAAUGCUUUAUUUUCAUUUUUCGGGUUAUUGAUUGGUAAUAAAUUGUACUGCUCAGACUUUAAAUUUGUUAAAUUUUGACAAUGUUUCCUUCUUUACAGAUUUUAAUGUCCUUUACAGAAGGAUUUUACAAAUGUGUACAAAUAAUGUAAAAUUAAGAUGUUGCAAUUUUAUCACUGGAUGGGCAAACAUUGCUUUAGAAAACAUAAUUAAAUGCUAAAGAGUAUGAGUCCUCUUGACUCAAGUUAAUAACAUUGUUGACAUUUGCUCUUAUACUGUAUGUACAGUAGAUUUUUCCACAGAAUGAAACUGAUUGUUCCCCCCACUUAAAAAUGUUAUAUUGUCAUGUGCUGCUUAAUAGGAUUAUUUGCUUUAAAAUGCAAAAUAAAUAUCUAGACUGAUAGUUUUUAAAAAUUAAAUUAGUCAUUAGUAAUUCAUUUUUUAAAUUAGGAUAAGAAACUUUUGAUUGUAGUGCAUUUGAAUGUUUGGAGAUGCGGCUGA